GAUGAAGAACGUAGCGAAAUGCGAAAAGUAAUGUGAAUUGCAGAAUUCAGUGAAUCAUCGAAUCUUUGAACGCACCUUGCACCCUUUGGACUGCUCCAAAGGGUAUGCUCGUUUGAGUGUCAUUGUACUCUCACACUCUCUGAUCCUUUGGAUUUGGGGAGCGGUGGACUUGGGUGCUUGCUGCUUCCUUGUGGCUCACCUGAAAUGCAUCAGUGCAUCUCUCGAUUGGACAUAGCACGGCGUGAUAAGUGUCUUCGCCGGCACCUCAUAUGAGGGUGGCCGAUCGGGAGCUCUGUGCUUUCAAACCGACUUCGGACAACGCUGACAACUUGACCUCAAAUCGAGUAGGACUACCCGCUGAACUUAAGCAUAUCAAUAAGCGGAGGA
rnacentral:misc_RNA from 1 species